rnacentral:lncRNA from 10 species
CCCCUGGGCAGUAAUUCUUGCUGGGUUUCCCUGACAGGUGACUGCUCAGCCCAGAUGUCUCCAAUGGAAGGCAUGGCCAAAACACUGCUCUUGGAACAAGAAGUGGCCCUGAUGCCCACAGCCCUCUGAAGCUCUGCUUGGAAGACUGCACAGCCUUUUGGGAAUUUGAAGACGCUCAGCAUGUUCAGAAUAUCCCCCAGCAUCAGUGCCUGCCUGGCAUAACUGUGACAUGGAAAAGUAUGUGAGCACUUUGGAUUAUCACUACAGUUGAAACC